UACGUAGGGGGCGAGCGUUGUCCGGAAUUACUGGGCGUAAAGGGUUCGCAGGCAUGGCAAGUCCGAUGUAAAAGGCGAAAGCUCAACUUUCGUAAGCAUCGGAAACUGUCAAGCUUGAGUGAAGGAGAGGCAAGUGGAAUUCCUAGUGUAGCGGUGGAAUGCGUAGAUAUUAGGAGGAAUACCGGUGGCGAAGGCGACUUGCUGGACUUCAACUGACGCUGAGGAACGAAAGCGUGGGUAGCAAACAGG
rnacentral:rRNA from 1 species